rnacentral:rRNA from 1 species
UACGUAGGGGGCAAGCGUUAUCCGGAUUUACUGGGUGUAAAGGGAGCGUAGACGGUUCAGCAAGUCUGAUGUGAAAGCCCAGGACUUAACCCUGGGACUGCAUUGGAAACUGUCGGACUAGAGUGCAGGAGAGGUAAGUGGAAUUCCUAGUGUAGCGGUGAAAUGCGUAGAUAUUAGGAGGAACACCAGUGGCGAAGGCGACUUUCUGGUCUGUAACUGACGCUGAGGCGCGAAAGCGUGGGGAGCAAACAGG